GUUGUGAUUUCCUACACCCUCAGUCGGUAGAGCAUGAGACUCUUAAUCUCAGGGUCGUGGGUUCUGAGAUAAGAGGAUGCCAGCGGGCGACG